rnacentral:ncRNA from 1 species
ACUAAGUAGUCUAACACGUGCGUGAGUCAGGAGCUCGCAUGAAAGUCGCCAUGGCGCAAUGAAGGUGAAGGCUGGCGCUGCUCGCCGGCCAAGGUGGGAUCCUGAGGCCUCUCCAGUCCGCCGAAUGUGCACCACCUGCCCAUCUCGCCUGCCACGCUGGGGAGGUGGAGCAUGAGCCCACGUGUUAGGGCCUGAAAGAUGGUGAACUAUGCCUGGGCAGGGCAAAGCCAUAGGAAACUCUGGUGGAGGUCUGUAGCGGUCCUGACGUGCAAAUCGGUCGUCCGACCUGGGUAUAGGGGUGAAAGACUAAUCGAACCAUCUAGUAGCUGGUUCCUCUGAAGUUUCCCUAAGGAUAGCUGGCGCUCUCGCACAUGAACUCACGAAGUUUUAUCUGAUAAAGCCAAUGAUUAGAGGUCUUGGGGCCCAAACGAUCUCAACCUAUUCUCAAACUUUAAAUGGGUAAGAAGCCCAGCUCGCUGGUGUGGAGCCGGGCGUGGAAUGUGAGUGCCUAGUGGCUACUUUUGGUAAGCAGAACUGGCGCUGUGGUAUGAACUGAACACCGGGUUAAGGCACCCGAUGCCGAACUUUGAAGGCCCCUCAUACCAAAACACUUGGGCCCAUGCUCCCCCACCCAGCACCCUCACCUCGACCCGCCCCUCCGCUCUCUGCCCAUCUGUCGGCUCGGGCCUACUGGCCUCCUGGGGGCUAAUUCUAACACUAGGUCGGCCCCGGAGGAUCCCUUCCCAAGGGGCCUGGUGCCGCGAUGCUGGGGAUUGGGAACCCCCAACCCCAGUGCCAGACUCAACCUGCCGCCAGGCCGCCACACAUACCAUAAAGGAGGAAGAUCAGAAACAGAUAGGACUGGUAGGAAA